rnacentral:rRNA from 1 species
CCUACGGGAGGCAGCAGUGGGGAAUUUUGGACAAUGGGGGAAACCCUGAUCCAGCCAUGCCGCGUGAGGGAAGAAGGCCUUCGGGUUGUAAACCGCUUUYGUCUSSGAAGAAACGCUCCUGGCUAAUGACCACAGAAUAAUGACCGGACCCCUACAAUACGCACCGSSUAACUACAUGGCAGAAUYCGCUGAAAUCUGGGCGAAUUCUCUC